rnacentral:tRNA from 1 species
AGAGUGAAUUGGCAGAUUUAAUGUGUUAAGUUUAGGAUUUAAUUAAGUUGAUAGACAUUUUAGU